rnacentral:rRNA from 1 species
GAUGAACGCUGGCGGCGUGCUUAACACAUGCAAGUCGAACGGAAAGGCCCAAGCUUGCUUGGGUACUCGAGUGGCGAACGGGUGAGUAACACGUGGGUGAUCUGCCCUGCACUUCGGGAUAAGCCUGGGAAACUGGGUCUAAUACCGGAUAGGACGAUGGUUUGGAUGCCAUUGUGGAAAGUUUUUUCGGUGUGGGAUGAGCUCGCGGCCUAUCAGCUUGUUGGUGGGGUAAUGGCCUACCAAGGCGUCGCCGGGUAGCCGGCCUGAGAGGGUGUACGGCCACAUUGGGACUGAGAUACGGCCCAGACUCCUACGGGAGGCAGCAGUGGGGAAUAUUGCACAAUGGGCGCAAGCCUGAUGCAGCGACGCCGCGUGGGGGAUGACGGCCUUCGGGUUGUAAACUCCUUUCGCUAGGGACGAAGCGUUUUUGUGACGGUACCUGGAGAAGAAGCACCGGCUAACUACGUG